GAGAGACUGAGGCUUGGUUUUAGAGACUCUAUGAGCUAGUUACAUUGGUGGUGCCUUCUUCAGUAAAACCCUGGUGGCACUAUUUCACUGCGAAGCACUUUGGAAGUGACUCGAGUUCAGAAGACAGCAGGUGCAUUCUAAGCUCCCAUCCAAGCACUGGAGAAAAAGCCCUCAUAAGCCCAAGUGCACACAGGUCAAAAGCUGUAUGAAGAAAGUCUGUCAACUUCCCUUCAGGCCUGAGUCUCAGCUGCAGAGUACUUUUUGAACAGGUCCACCAACUUGAAGAGAAUUGAUCUUCCUCCCAAGCUCUAUGAAACGGUGUCUCAGCUAUCAGGGGUAAGUAUCCUUCUGUGCAAGGAAGAUGACAGAGUGGGUACACAUGCCAUGCAAAACCAAGGACAAGAAUUGCAAGAAAAAGAAUUCUUCUGCCGGGCAGAAUUCUUCAUCUCUGAUAAAAACUUUUCUAAGUAGCAAGUCUCCUUUUUGACACAUUUUUAUCUUGAAGUAGAGAGAGUGCCCCACAUGUGUUUUUAAAGGAAUGGAAAUUUUUGU